rnacentral:lncRNA from 1 species
AACGUGUGCUGCCAGAGAAACCACAAAAUAGAAUUUGGAUAACAGAAAAUAUGAAACUCAUCCUAGGUCAUGCAUACAAUAACAAACAAAAUAGAAACGCAUCCUGGGAGCCUUCAUACAGUAGCUGAUGGAGGUAGAAGCAGAAAACAACAGCUAACCACUUAACUGAACUUCUGGAAUGCAGUUGCAGAGAAGGAGUGAUGAGCAAAGAGUGAAGAUCAAACUGGUGAAACCCACAGAAACAGAUGUCCUGAACAAGGAUAAGGGCCUUUACCCAGCAUCUUAUGAAAGAAGUAGACUCCAAGAGCUAAACACUGAAGUGAACUCUGGAACCCAAUUGCAGAGAGGGAGGAGUGAUGAAAAAAGGUGUCAAGACACAGCUGGUGAAACCCACAGAAAAAGCUGACCUGAACAAGAGGGAGUUCCGGGUAACCAUACUAAUACCUGGGAAAGCAGAAUAGGUCACUUGUGGACCACAUGAAGUGAUGCAUUAGGAACCAAUGAUGUGAGAGGUCUCAUACCCAGGAAUUGAAACCAAAUGACUGCAGUUGAUUGGAGAGCUCCAUCUGUGCUACUGACUCACAGGACUCCCUAUCCUCCCUGUGUGUUUUAAAAGAAGCAAUGAAAUGGAAAGUUCAACAUGGGAAUUAAGUGAAAUACCCUCUGAUAUAUCUUGAUUGACAGUAGAAAACACUAGUUAAUGGUAAGUUGUGAGCUGUGCAUGUUUCAGCAUUCUUUCCUAGAUUCUAGCUUACAAGAAGAAACAUUUUAUUUCUCCUGUAUUAUUCUGAUUUUAACUCUGUUCUGCUCUCUGUAUCACAUUGUGAUCUCUUUGUGUACAAUGCUAUGUCAUUAUUUCAAGUUAUUGAAAUAUAAUUUUAAUUUGUUUCUAUAUGUUUUAUCAUAUUGUACAUAAAUUGUAUAAUUAUAUAUUAUAUAUCAAUAUAUGAUU